GAUGGACGCUGGCGGCGUGCUUAACACAUGCAAGUCGAACGAUGAAGCCCAGCUUGCUGGGUGGAUUAGUGGCGAACGGGUGAGUAACACGUGAGUAACCUGCCCUUAACUCUGGGAUAAGCCUGGGAAACUAGGUCUAAUACCGGAUAGGAGCGCCUACCGCAUGGUGGGUGUUGGAAAGAUUUAUCGGUUUUGGAUGGACUCGCGGCCUAUCAGCUUGUUGGUGAGGUAAUGGCUCACCAAGGCGACGACGGGUAGCCGGCCUGAGAGGGUGACCGGCCACACUGGGACUGAGACACGGCCCAGACUCCUACGGGAGGCAGCAGUGGGGAAUAUUGCACAAUGGGCGAAAGCCUGAUGCAGCGACGCCGCGUGAGGGAUGACGGCCUUCGGGUUGUAAACCUCUUUCAGUAGGGAAGAAGCGAAAGUGACGGUACCUGCAGAAGAAGCACCGGCUAACUACGUGCCGGCAGCCGCGGUAAUACGUAGGGUGCGAGCGUUAUCCGGAAUUAUUGGGCGUAAAGAGCUCGUAGGCGGUUUGUCGCGUCUGUCGUGAAAGUCCGGGGCUUAACCCCGGAUCUGCGGUGGGUACGGGCAGACUAGAGUGCAGUACGGGAGACUGGAAUUCCUGGUGUAGCGGUGGAAUGCGCAGAUAUCAGGAGGAACACCGAUGGCGAAGGCAGGUCUCUGGGCUGUAACUGACGCUGAAGAGCGAAAGCAUGGGGAGCGAACAGGAUUAGAUACCCUGGUAGUCCAUGCCGUAAACGUUGGGCACUAGGUGUGGGGACCAUUCCACGGUUUCCGCGCCGCAGCUAACGCAUUAAGUGCCCCGCCUGGGGAGUACGGCCGCAAGGCUAAAACUCAAAGGAAUUGGCGGGGGCCCGCACAAGCGGCGGAGCAUGCGGAUUAAUUCGAUGCAACGCGAAGAACCUUACCAAGGCUUGACAUGUUCUCGAUCGCCGUAGAGAUACGGUUUCCCCUUUGGGGCGGGUUCACAGGUGGUGCAUGGUUGUCGUCAGCUCGUGUCGAGAGAUGUUGGGUUAACUCCCGCAACGAGCGCAACCCUCGUUCCAUGUUGCCAGCACGUAAUGGUGGGGACUCAUGGGAGACUGCCGGGGUCAACUCGGAGGAAGGUGAGGACGACGUCAAAUCAUCAUGCCCCUUAUGUCUUGGGCUUCACGCAUGCUACAAUGGCCGGAACAAUGGGUUGCUAUACUGUGAGGUGGAACUAAUCCCAAAAAGCCGGUCUCAGUUCGGAUUGGGGUCUGCAACUCCGACCCCAUGAAGUCGGAGUCGCUAGUAAUCGCAAAUCACCACCGCUGCGGUGAAUACAUUCCCGGGCCU
rnacentral:rRNA from 1 species